rnacentral:rRNA from 1 species
AUUAGAAGCUUGCUUCUAUGACGUUAGCGGCGGACGGGUGAGUAACACGUGGGCAACCUGCCUGUAAGACUGGGAUAACUCCGGGAAACCGGAGCUAAUACCAGAUAACAUUUUCUCUUGCAUAAGAGAAAAUUGAAAGAUGGUUUCGGCUAUCACUUACAGAUGGGCCCGCGGUGCAUUAGCUAGUUGGUGAGGUAACGGCUCACCAAGGCAACGAUGCAUAGCCGACCUGAGAGGGUGAUCGGCCACACUGGGACUGAGACACGGCCCAGACUCCUACGGGAGGCAGCAGUAGGGAAUCUUCCGCAAUGGACGAAAGUCUGACGGAGCAACGCCGCGUGAGUGAUGAAGGCUUUCGGGUCGUAAAACUCUGUUGUUAGGGAAGAACAAGUACAAGAGUAACUGCUUGUACCUUGACGGUACCUAACCAGAAAGCCACGGCUAACUACGUGCCAGCAGCCGCGGUAAUACGUAGGUGGCAAGCGUUAUCCGGAAUUAUUGGGCGUAAAGCGCGCGCAGGCGGUUUCUUAAGUCUGAUGUGAAAGCCCACGGCUCAACCGUGGAGGGUCAUUGGAAACUGGGGAACCUGAGUGCAGAAGAGAAAAGCGGAAUUCCACGUGUAGCGGUGAAAUGCGUAGAGAUGUGGAGGAACACCAGUGGCGAAGGCGGCUUUUUGGUCUGUAACUGACGCUGAGGCGCGAAAGCGUGGGGAGCAAACAGGAUUAGAUAC